GAAGAUUAUAGCUUCUUGGCAGGUUAUUAAAAAACAGUUGUUCAUAUAUACACAAAUAUCUGUACUAGAACCUAGCAUUUGACAGAACAGCCAAAGAAUUAACCCCACUGGCAAUUCCAAAUAGCAUUCACAUGCACACACACACACACACACACACAAUUAAAUAAAUAAAUAUAUAAAUAGAGCCAAGGAAAAACUAAGAUAAUUAAAUUGAGGGGUGUGGAGGGGGGCAGUUGUCCUGCAUUUGAUUUCUUUCCAAAAGUUGGUGAUUCAAACUGUCAUCUGGAAUCAUCACCUUUCAUCCUUAAUUACCAAUACCUGAUAUAUAAGAAGGCAGAAAAAUGUUUUUAAAGUCCAUGUACACAGCCCUGUUAACUGUGUAGCCUUGAAGCUAAUUGGAGUUGAUGGAUAAUGUGAAUCAUUCAAUUCAGCAUAUAUUCCUUCUGUCUGCAUCUGGUCAUCCAAGAGAAGACAUAAGAACUUGUGAUAGCAAAAUCUUUUUGAGACAUCAGUGUGCAUCAUUUCCAACAGCCUUCCCAAGCAACCCUGCCUUUGAGAAUAAUGCUUGUUGCCCCUGUUCUUCUACCAGAAAAAAAAAAAAAAAAAGAAAAAAAGGGAAAAAAAAAAAGUUGUCCAACUUCUUUUUUAGCAACAGAUAUUCAGGAUUUUGAUGCUGAGAGAUUUCUGGUAGACUGUGUAGCAGUUUGGUUUAACAACCUGCAUCUGACUUCUCAGAAAUGAAUGAUUUGUAUCACGAAAGCAACUAUUUUGUUCAGACUGUACCCUCACCUGACUGUAGAGCCUCUUGAACUGCAGUUGUAAUGGGAAACUCUUGUCUCUGUCUUAGGAUCUGACUUCUUCAGGACAGGAGCUUUGUUCCCUCAGAGAAGGAGGGGAAAGGGAAUAAGAAACCUUAAGUGAAAAACUGCUCAUCACUCCUCCAGACUUUGGUCAAUCUCACUGGAAGCUUCAUGCAUAAGACUCAAGACAGGACUCUUUUGGAGACCAGAACAACAGAGAGGCAGUCAGUUCAAGAUAGGAUGGAAUCCAUCUCCAUUUUAGGAAGCAACAACAAAGUGCAACGGAGAAAGGGCAUAAUGAAGAAUGGCAAGAUAAAAAAUGCGUACCUACAAACUGCUGGAGAGACCUGCAUCUUCCAGGAACUAGUAAACACCAUGAGUUUCUUUUCAAAGCUGUUUCCUUCGAACACUACAAAUUUGAUGCAAGACAGCCUUCAGAAACAGUUAAAAGGGAAUUCAGGUUCCCAGCAAAGGGAAAGCCAGCCAAGAACCAGCUUCCUUUUAGGUUCAGUAAGGGUUGCUGAUACCUCCACUAAGAACCCAAGCUGCUUUGCAGUGACAGCCCUAAAUGAUUUUAAAUAGAUUAAAAAUAAAACUGAGGUAUUUCUUCUCCCA
rnacentral:lncRNA from 1 species